AUCUGACUUAUAUUGCUGCUUUGCGACUGGCAAUAAUAUCAGUCUUUACAUUCAUACUUGUUGUACUCAUGGGUAUACUUCACAAUAUUAUUUGCAUUGGCUUCUAAAAUAGUUACUGAGGCUACUUAAUCAGCCACUGUUGCAAAUCUAUUGGGAUUGUGUAGGCUUUUUGGAUGGUUCCGAUGCAAUCACUUGAUCAAGAUGACUGGAAGAUAGUUGUUGCUCUUAUGGGAAGCUACAUAGGUUUGCUUCCUAAGUCAUUUUUCUUUGACAAAAACAUUUCAGGUACUUGCAGUGAGGUUUAUUUCUGAAAGUGUGUCGACUUCACUUCAUUAAUUGUUUGAUCAUUUAAUUUUCCUUUUCACUAUGUUCUCUAUG